UUAAAAGAUCAAACACUUUGAUCAGAGUCAUUCAUCAGCAGGACAAGAUAGCCAAUCAAAUUUAAGCAGAGUCACAUGUCCCAUAACCCUACCUGUGCAUUUUAACAUAAAUAUGGCUUGUCUGCAGGAUUAAAUGGAAGAAGGCAACAGAAAGGCGACUUAGGAAAUGACAUCAGAGAUCAAGAGGCAAGAUACCAUCUAACUUGAAUGUCAGCAAAUGUAACUAUGAACAACAGCGAUCGCUAAACCAGAAGCUGCCAAGGGCAACAUCCACUCCUUGACACUUCUGAUUGUCAUGUCACAACAAGCCAGAGCCAAUCCUUGCAGCAAUGGGAGCAAAGCAGGAACAGCCCCAAGAAGGGAAGCCUGACCAUUCCAACAAUAAAGAAAACACCCAGUGAGGGUAACUGAGCCCCGCCCAUGAUCCUCUGAAAAACCCCGCCUUUUCUGGUCAAGACCUACAAAUACUGACAUCCCUGGAAGGAAUGGCUUCAGAUGCUAAGCAGACCUCGUGCAUGUCAGACGUCCCCUGAUCUUGAACUGCUCAGUUGAGACUUUAAGGCAGACAAGCCUAGCAGGAUAUCCAGGCAGUUUUAUACACCUGUUUUCCAUUCUUACGCUGUUGUGAUGUAAGAUUUUGCAUAUAACUUGAUAAAUGUUUUGUAUGUCUUUAUUUAUAAUUUAGGCAAACCAAG